rnacentral:rRNA from 1 species
GGCGAGCGGCGGACGGGUGAGUAAAACGUAGGAAUCUGCCUUGAAGUUUGGGAUAACCCGGGGAAACUCGGGCUAAUACUGGAUGAGCUCUGAGGAGGAAAGUUGCCAUUUUGGUGGUGAUGCUUUAAGAGGAGCCUAUGUCGGAUUAGCUAGUUGGUUAGGUAAAAGCUGACCAAGGCGAUGAUCCGUAGCUGGUCUGAGAGGACGGACAGCCACACUGGGACUGAGACACGGCCCAGACUCCUACGGGAGGCAGCAGUGGGGAAUAUUGGACAAUGGGGGCAACCCUGAUCCAGCGAUGCCGCGUGUGUGAAGAAGGCCUGCGGGUUGUAAAGCACUUUUAUUGGGGAGGAAGGGUGCCAGGUUAAUAGCCUGGUGCAUUGACGUUACCCAAAGAAUAAGCAACGGCAAACUCUGUGCCAGCAGCCGCGGUAAUACAGAGGUUGCGAGCGUUAAUCGGAAUUACUGGGCGUAAAGGGUGCGUAGGCGGUUUGGUAAGUGAGAUGUG